rnacentral:ncRNA from 1 species
UAAAAAUUUAUGAUUUGAAGAAUUUAUUUUAAGUUUGAUUUACAUGUAAAUUUUUGUAUGAAUUUUAUUGUAUUUAAAUAAUAUAAUAAUAAAAUUAACAGUAAUUAAAAUUAAAAAUUUAAGAAAUUAAGAUUUAGAAAUAUAGAUAAUAAAUAACAAAUUUUGUGCCAGCAGUUGCGGUUAUACAAAAAUUUAAAUGAAUUUUAUUAAUAAAAAAUAAUAUACCAUUAAAAUUAAACUAAAUUUAAAAUUAUUAAGUGAAAUUUUAAUUUUGUUAAAGUUUAUAUUAAUUGAAAGAUUUAUGUAUUUAAAAAAUUUUAUAAUUAGACUAGGAUUAGAUACCCUAUUAUUAAAAAAUUAAUUUUAAAUAUUAAAAUAGUAGGUAAUUAUUUAUUGAAACUUAAAUAAUUUGGCGGUAUUUUAGUUCAUUUAGAGGAAUCUGUUUAUUAAUUGAUAAUCCACGAAUAAUUAUAUUUAACUUAAAAUUUUAUAUAUCGUUGUUAAAAAAAUAUUUUUUAAAAAUAAUAAUAUUUAAAAAUUUAAAAAUAAAAUUAAUUCAGAUCAAGAUGUAGAUUAUAGUUAAAUUUAAAAUGGAUUACAAUAUAAUUAUAUAAAUGGAAAAUAAUUUGAAAUAUUUUUUAGAAAGUGGAUUUAAAUGUAAUUUUAAAUAAUUUUUUAAAAUGAUUAUAAAUUGGGAUAUGUACAUAUUGCCCGUCACUUUCAUUUAAAAAUUGAAAUAAGUCGUAACAAAGUAGGGGUACUGGAAAGUGUUUCUAGAAACAA